AAAAAUCUUACUGUUAUAUUUGUAUCAAGAUUUGUAUAAGGGUUUUAUAACUUAUACAGCCAUUCUGCUCGAAAUGGUGUAGCAUUGGAAACAAUGGUACUACGAAUUGUAGCAACGCGAGAGUCGGCGUUUUAACAGGCUUGGCGGUCUCUUGAGUGGGUAUCUUAUGACAUUAAAAAUAGAAAGUAAGCUAUUAUGUCAGCUGUAGGGCAAGAGUUACAGUCGGUGAAAUUAAGCCGAAUAAGAUAAGU
rnacentral:ncRNA from 1 species